GGGCGAUUAGCUCAGUUGGUUAGAGCACCUGCCUUACAAGCAGGGGGCAUAGGGUCGGGGCCUUUUUUCCCCA
rnacentral:tRNA from 1 species